AGAGUUUGAUCAUGGCUCAGGACGAACGUUGGCGGCGUGCCUAAUGCAUGCAAGUCGCACGCGGUAGCUUUGGCUACUGAGUGGCGCACGGCUGAGUAAAGCGUGGGCAAUUUGUCCAACCGUGGGGGACAAAAGCUGGAAACAGCUGCUAAUCCCGCAUACGCUCGCAAGAGGAAAGCUGGCAACAGCGCGGUUGGGGAAGCCUGCGUCCCAUCAGGUAGUUGGUGUGGUAAUGGCGCACCAAGCCAAUGACGGGUCGCUGGUCGGAGAGGCUGACCAGCCAGACUGGGACUGAGACACGGCCCAGACUCCCACGGGAGGCAGCAGGAAGGAAUUUUCCCCAAUGGGCGCAAGCCUUAGAGAGCAACGCCGCGUGGAGGAUGACGGCCUUCGGCUUGUAAACUCCUUUUGCAUGGGACGAUACUGACGGUACCGUGCGUAUAAGCCCCGUCUAACUCUGUGCCAGCAGCCGCGGUAAUUC
rnacentral:rRNA from 1 species